CUCCGGUUAUAUAAAACUUCUUUAGUUAAAAUAAGUCGCCCCCCCCCCGGGGGGGUACACAUGUAACUUUAAUUGAGAUGCGUAAAGCAUUACUCUUUUUUCUUUAAGAAUGAAUAACGCGCGAUGACCUUGUGGCCUAGCGGGUUAAGCCGCCUGAGUUGGAGUCCCUGUUGCUGUGCUUUGGAUCCAGCUCCCUGCAGAUGCGCCUGAGAGGCAGCAGAUGAUGGCCCAGUACUUGGCCUUUGCCAUCCAUGUGGGAGACCCAGAGAGUGAGUGUCAGGCUCCUCUCUUCAGUCUGGCACAGAACCAAGUGUUGUGGGCAUUUGAGAAGUAAACCAGCAGAUGGAGUCAAUUGCUCACCCCCACCCCCGUCUCUGUGUUGCUCUGACUUUCAAAAAAAUUUUCUUGAGACUUACUUAUUUGAAAGAGACAAAUAGAAGGCGAGACAGAUCUUCAAAAUGGCCCCAACCACCAGGGUAGGUCCAGGCUGAAGCCAGGAGCUUCAUCCAGGUCUCCCACAUGGAUACAGGGACCCAAGCACUUGGGCCAUCUUCUGCUGCUUUCAUAGGCUCAUGUAGCAGGGAACUGGGUUGGAAGUGGAGCAUCCUGAACUCCAACCUGACCCAUAUGGGAUGCCAACGCUGCAAACAUGGUUUUAACCCACUGCACCACAGCCCUCGUCCCAUCUGCCUUUCAGAUUACAAUUGUUUGAUGGCCAGCGCCAUGGCUCACUAGGCUAAUCCUCCACCUGCGGCGCUGGCACACCGGGUUCUAGUCCCGGUCAGGGCACCGGAUUCUGUCCCGGUUGCCCCUCUUCCAGGCCAGCUCUCUGCUGUGGCCUGGGAGUGCAGUGAAGGGUGGCCCAGGUCCUUGGGCCCUCCACCCGCAUGGGAGACCAGGAGGAAGCACCUGGCUCCUGGCUUCAGAUCAGCGCCAUGCGCCGGUCGUAGCGGCCAUUUGCGGGGUGAACAAACGGAAGGAGGACCUUUCUCUCUGUCUCUCUCACUGUCUAACUCUGCCUGUCAAAAGUCAAUGUGACUUGAAUAAUCAUGUUAUCUUACCUCCGUGAUUUUUAUUUUGCCUCCAAAUUUGGUUCCAAGUUACUUUUCCCUUUUUUUGUGUGUUCCUUUGCAUGUUAAUUUAGUAGUGUUUUGUAGUUAACUAUGGAAGUUUUAUUUUUGUUUUACUGUUGAUAAAGACCAGAACAUACUCCUAUAGUAUUACAGUAAAAUGGAAUACUACCAUGUAGAUAUUUUUAAACUGCCAAGUUUUUACUGAUUCAAAGAAAUACUCAAAAGUGACUAAACCGGGAUGCCAAGCAUAGGAACCGUACAAAUAGCCAAACUAAAAAGUUAUUAAUGACUUUCACUUUUGACUGAAAAUAGUGACUUUGUCUCUAUGGAGAAAUUUUUUUCUCUGUUGCUUUGCAUUUUUCUGUACUUUCCAAAAUUCAUACAAUAAGCUAUAUUAUUUGUAAAAUUUUUUAAAGUUACACACAGUCCACAUUAUACUGACAUUUGUGAAAUCCAGAGAUUAAGUCACAUCAUCUGAACCACCCAAACUUUAUUUAUUUAUUUAUUAUGGCUAUGUCAGCAGUUAAUGCCUUUUGGAGGCUAAAUCAGGGAAAGGGAAAUUAAAAAUUGCUUGGUCCUCAUAAUUUCCAAUUAAAUUUUCAAAAUGAUCACAAGUUUCAAGAAUACAAGGCAGUCAAAUAUUUAUUAAUAUUUAGAGGAGUAAAAUGAAGCAUUUCAAUCAGUUUGUGAAAAUGGAAUUAAAGGAUGUUUUACAGUAAUGCCUUUUUUUUUUCUUUAUUUGACAGAGUUAUAGACAGUGAGAGAGAGAGACAGAGAGAAGGUCUUCCUUCCAUUGGUUCACUCCCCAAAUGGCCACCAUGGCCGGCACUGCGCCGAUCUGAAGCCAGGAACAAGUGCUUCUUUCUGGUCUCCCAUGCAGGUGACCCAAGCAGCAGAGCCCUCCUGGGCCACAGCAGAGAGCUGGACUGGAAGAGGAGCAACCGAGACUAGAACCCAGCACCCACGUGGGAUGCCGACACCACAGGUGGAAGAUUAACCAAGUGAGCCACAGCACUGGCCCCAGAGUCUUAUUUCCCUAAGUUCUGAUGGAGAGCUCCUUGUCUGUGAAGUGGAAGAGAGGUACUUCAGAAAGUCAGACCCUCCCGGGCACUGCACGUUUUUACACUCUGCUCAACUCUCUGCAAAGGGACACUGGAGCUCUGAAUUUUAAAAGUCUGCUUUACUAAAUGAGACCAAGUCACUUUAAGACAAAAAACAGCGGAAGUUCAACUUACAGCAGGACUUCUCCUCAGUGCAGGAGGGCUGCUUCAUCCAAGUCACAGAAAACAUUUCCUCCUGGAUUUUGCCUCACUCUGUUCUGUGGCUCCCUUCCUAACAGGGGCUAUGUCUAGAAGGCAUGAUUGCAGCUCAAGGAUAUGAUGCUCUUCCUCUCCACCAGCCACCAAACCUCAGCUUAGAACCUACUGCCUUCAGGGUAAUCAUCCACCUGCCAAAAAAAGGUCCCACAUUCUCUAUGCCUUUUGGAAGUAGGAGUAUCUCAACACUACUUAUUUUCAAGUGUCUCAUUUUCAUAAACUGCUUUAGGUUCACUUGUGUGAUUAUCACAUUCAGAAAUUAAUCAGCGUUCUGACAAAACAUCUGUUUUAAAUAGGAAGUUCAAUAAACUUCCCCUGUUGACUUGGACUUGGAUUUCUUCUUUUGGAUUCAGCUCAGCUAAUUAAAAAUACUUCCGCUAAUCAGUUCUGUCAUUUGCCCUAGAAAACUUUUGAACCAGAGGAUAUAAAUUCUCUUGGGCUUUCUCAAUGACCUAAUAGUUUAUUUGCUUCCUUCCAAAACAUUUCCCACUCUUCCAUGAGCCCAGAUCAUCUCUUAACUCCCCCAGUUUGCAGGAGUUAACAAUAAUCACAGAAAUGACUGAUACCUUCUUUUUCUGGGAGGCCAGUCCUUAUCUCCAGCAUGAUGUUUCCCAGAUAAAAGCAAAUUUGAAAUAGUUUCCCCAUGUGUAACACUCACUAUAAAUGAAAACUUAAUAUUGGGAAACUAGGUAAAUAUUUGAGCCAAGCUCACACAGUUUCUACUCUUUUAGAUGCAGAAAUUAAAUGCCUAAAUUGUGUGAAGUCUAUGGGUGGUCAUAAAAUAGCAUGAAAGGGGCCAGCGCUGUGGCGUAGCGGGUAAAGCGGCCGCCUGCAGGGCCAGCAUCCCAUAUGGGCACCGGUUCGAGGCAUGGCUGCUCCACUUCUGAUCCAGCUCUCUGCUAUGGCCUGGGAAAGUAGUGGAGAAUGGCCCAAGUCCUUGGGCCCCUGCACCCAUGUGUGAGACCCGGAAGAAGCUCCUGGCUCCUGGCUCCUGGCUCCUGGGCUCAUAUUGGCGCACCACCAGCUGUUGCAGCCAUUUGGGGAGUGAACUAGCAGGUGGAAGACCUCUCUUUCUCUCUCUUUUCUGCCUCUCCUUUUCUCUCUGUGUAACUCUUUAAAAUAAAUAAAUCUCUGUCUCUUUUCUGCCUUUCCUUCUCUCUCUGUGUAAUUCUGACUUUCAAAUAAAUAAAUAAAUAAAUCUUUAAAAAAAACAGCAUGGAAAAUAACAUUGUGUGUGAAAAUUGUCAUCAAACACUACUAUAAGAACUUUUACAUAUAUAGUUUCUUCUUUUUAAAGUAUCUCCUGUCUGUAUUUUUUAAAGAUUUAUUUAUUUAUCCGAAAGGCAGAGUUACAGAGAUGUAGAGGCAGAGAGAGACAGGUCUUCCAACCGCUGGUUCACUCUCCAGAUGGCCACAAUGGCCAGAGCUAGGCCCAUCUGAAGCCAGGAGCCAGGAGUUUCUUCUGGGUCUCCUACAUGGGCGCAGGGGUCCAACAACUUGGGCCAUCUUCUACUGCUUUCCCAGGCCAUAGCAGAGAGCUGGAUCAGAAGUAGAGCAGCCAGGACUUGAACUGGCACCCAUGUGGGAUGCAGGCACUGCAGGUGGCAGCUUUACCUGCCAAGCCACAGUGCUGGCCCCACACAUAUAGUUUCUAUAUAGAUAUCUCAGUAUCUUAAAAACAUUUGACAAUAUUAUUUUGGUCUAAUGGGUGUGGGUGUUUCAGUCUACCUAUAAAUAUACAUUUAAAUAAAUCUAUACUUUGUUCCUAUGAAGUAAUUUCAUCAUAUAAAAUAAUGAAUAAUGCACUAAGAGAAACAAGAACUGAUUUUAGAUUCUGGCCUUUGAUUUUGAUUUUUGAUUCUGGCUUCAUCAUUAAAAAUAUGGUUAGAUAUUUCUAACCCUUGGGAAUUUACUUUUUUAAAUUAUUUUUUGCUUUUGUGUUUUUGUCAUUGCUGCUGUUGUUUUUUAAUAACAGAGAGAAUUAUCCUCUGAGGUCUGGUUCAGCUCUAAUCAGCUCUGUGAUUUUGUAAUUCUGUCCAUCACACAUACUCAAUAUAUUAGCGCAAGUAGAGAGGCUAAAAGUGCUUUUACCAAAUCAGCAAUUAAUCAUUCAUUCUUAGGAAAAGCAUUGUAGCAGGAUCCUAGAAGUUGCUUGCUAAGUCAUGGGGAAGCCUAUGAUACCAUGACUAAGAAGGAAUACCAGAAUCAUAAAAGCUUAUAGCUAAGGUAAAGUCAUUUGCCAAAGGUAAUACAGCCUCUUGGUGGCAGACGAGAGUGUCAUUCCAGUCCCGUCUCCUGGCUUUCAGUGCUCUCAGGUAUCUACUCCAUUGUUCAGUAACCUCCUUCUCUGAAUGGUCACCUUGAUAUCUAUCCAAAUUCCAGAUCCUACUUGGUGGUGGUGGUGUUCAGUCCUUUUAAAUGAGUGCUUCUGUGCUACUGUGGAGGGUCUUUCGUGAACCUGAGGAGCAUGACAAUCUCUGAAACUUUCUCUUGGGGAAUUAGAAGCACCACAAGGGAUAGCUGUUUGUGACUUAUGCAGGGUGUAUUUAUGUCACAGAAGAAAGUGCUCACAUCGCCUUUGUUCUUCACAGUGUGGUGGCUUCAGAGGCAAGAACCCCCCAGUCCAGGACUCCUGGCUAUUCUGCAUCCAUUACCUGCCACUGUGCCUUUGGAGGAAAGCAGAAAUAACUUACGCAUCCAGAAUGGAACUACCUGGCUCUCUUCCAAUUCCACCAUCUCUUCCCACCAUGGUCUCAUACAUGACUUGCUGGUUCCCUCCAUGACUUUUUGCAUUGCAGACCAGGGGAGGAAUUGAGAGUACCUCUUUCUUGCCCUACUUCCUUGCCUUUCUUCACCUGCUAGUUUUGUUUCUCUAGAGUGAAUGGCAAGGUUUUUUAGCCUUGCAAAGCCUAUGAUAGAUUCUGAAAUAACAGCUUUCCUCCUAGAGGAGGCAAUGUUUGUAAAAGAGAUGCUGAAGAAAGAAAGGCACAACCAAAAGAGAAAGGGCAAUUCAGGCAGAAGGAGCAAACUGAGCAAGUCAAGGAAGGAUGGCAGGGCCUGGCAUGUAACAAGCAGUUCUCUAAGCUUGGAAGACAGGGGUCCAGCCAUGGGAAUGCCAAAUGUGCUCAGGAAACAAGAGAGAGGGAGAACCCAAUCACAGGCAGCCUUACAUGCCACACCAAGGAGUUGGCAUUGUACUCUGCAGGUAAAGGAGGAACAUUUGGAGGGUUUCCAAAUAUUGAGUGACAUGAUCAUCUUGCACUGUGGAAAACAAAAUGAAAAACAGAUCCGAGAGUUUUGAGGCUGGAGACUAAUGACACCAGUUAGAAGGUUAUCAGAAUAAUUCACAAGAGACAUCAUGAAAAGCUCAAGUUGAGGAUGGUGGAAGUAAUGGAGAGGUUUGACUGACAGAAGAGGUUAAGGGGCCAGAAUUAGAAGCUACUUGAGGACUGAGGGAGGGUUCCAGCUUGAGUGACUGGGUGGAUCAGGAUAUCCCUGCUGAAGGGGAGAAACAUGAGAAGGAGGAGAGUUGGAAGAGGGAUGGGAGGCUUUGAGAAUGGUUUUUACACCAACUGAGUUGGAGAUACACAGUGCAAAGUUAGACACAAAGCUGGAGAUGGAGGUCUGGGAGUUAGCAUAUGAGUGAAAAAUUAAGUCAUGGGAGGAUAUCAGAUGGCUGGAGAAAGCCUGGAAAUUAGGAAAAUGGUUUUUGACAAUGAUAUGGGGAAAUCAAUCCUUACUAGGUAUGCAAUAUGCAAAAAACAAGGAACCAGCAAGGGAGGCAGAAUAGCCAGACAGGUAAAAGGAAAUGCAAGGGAGCUGAGAUGUCUUGGUCAGGGAGGGAGAAGAGCAUAGCCUAACUCUGCUCUUACCCUUAACAAAGACCAGAGGUUUAGUUUCUGGAAAUGCUGACUUAAGAAGUUCUGGACCUGAGCACAAGGAUGGGCGGCAUAGAAAGAAUGGAGGGGAGUGAAAAGUUCACACACUGGACUAUGAAAUUAUCUCCCCUGACCUAUGUCAGGGAGGGUGCUGGGGGAUUUUAUCUACAGAAACUACUGGUAGGUGCACAGCAAAACAGAGAGACAGAUGGAGAGGAGAAAGAAGUAGAAGACAAGGAGUCAGGAACAGAGGAUUCCACAAAGGCAAAAGGACAACAGCUGUGCAGCACGCCCAGCAGCCAACCAGUCCAGACUGAGGAGGGAAGAAGAGGGCUGAGCUAGGAAGGGCUCCAAGGGGAAAAUAUGAAACUGAUGUGUUUAAGUGCUUGGAAAAAUUACUGAUAGUGUUUGGCAGAACUAAUGGAGCAUUUGGAAAAAAUAAAGAUAGAUACAUAGAAAACCAAGUAGAUAAAAAAAUUAAAGCAAUUAUUCUUUUGAAGGGGGGAAAGUGGUAAGAGAGCAUAAUCAUAGUAUACUACUUGGCUCAGCAGGGAACAGCACUUACACUAUAAAUGUAUAAAUAUAUAAGCAUACAAAUACUGGCUGCUGAUUUAUCAAAACAUUUAUGAUGCAAUCAUAUUGCGAGGAUAGGGAAAAAGGAAGAGGGAACCAGUGAGAGGAUUAAAUCUUUGAUCAUCAGAUGAUAGUAGAAAGAGACAAAAGAUAGCUAAAAUUUAGAAACAAAAAAGUCACAGUAAAGCAUGUUAUUUAGAAAUACAGACAUAAAUGCCAGCUAGGCAUUGGAAAUGAUUUUCCCCGGGGGAAAACUUGAGGGGGUCAGGGUUGUCUUUUAGCACUGGCUGAUGUUUUACCUUUGUAAAUGAAUUCCUUUAAUAAAGAGAAUAGCUAUGAAGCAUGAUAGUGGAGGUAGAAAAUGUUGAAUGUUAGCUUACUUCAGUUGGAUGGAGUCGGGGCGGCAGCUAUAGGGGAAGGAAGAAUUCUGAUAAAAUGGAAGAGGCCAGAGCAUAUUUACAUCCUUUGUGUAACCAGCAGGUAAAAAGAAGGAAUUGAAACAACAAUGAAGAAAGAUAACCAAUGAGACCCUGGAGGACAGGAAACACUAAGCUUUAUAUGGGUUGGGGAAAUUUUGGAAUUUCACGAGUACAUUCCUAUUUAUGAGGAAAUCCUCUGUAUGCCCAUUUCCUCAUCACUUUGUCCACCCUCUCCCUCUGCCCUCCAGUCUUCAACAGACUUGUCUUCUUAUCUAUAUCCCUGUGGUUUUUCCAGUUAGGAAAGUCGUACUUCUCCCUCAGGAUUCUAAGUCUCUAAGGGAAUAAGGAGUUCAAAUCUUUUUUACAGCUUACGUUCCUGGCCAUGUUUUCAUUUCCCUGAAAUGGUUAUACCUUCAAUGAAUACACCACAACCUCCAGAGAGAGCCCAGUUGCUACCCUUUAACCAGUCCCCACUGGAAACGUAAUGGAAACACCAGUGGAAACUGAGUGAUCCUGUUUAAGCUGAUGACCUAGAUAUGGAAUCACAUUUUCAAGGAAUGAUGGCCACUCUGUGGGUUGUAUCUCCUAUUAGGACAUUUCUGGAACCAUGCAUGUGUGGUGGCCACCAUCACAAAUGUGAUGAAAUAUUCAACAUAGUUAAAUUAUUCUCAGAGGUGGGUAUUUGGUCUAGCAAUUAAGAUGCUGGUUGGGAUGCCUGUAUCCCUUAUCAAGGUACCUGGGUUUGAUGCCCAGCUCUGAUUCUCGCGUCCAGUCUCCUGCUAAUCCAGAUCUUGGGAGGUAAGAGUGAUGGCUCAACUAACUGGACCCCUGCCAUCCAUGUGGGAGACCUGGAUUGAGUUCUUGGCUUAUGGUUUCAGCCAAGACCAGUCACAGCUGUUGCAGGGAUUUGGGGAGUCAACAAGGGAACAGGAGUGCUCUCUCUCUUGCUCACUCGCUCGCUCUUUUCAAAUAAAAAAAUUAUAAAAUGAAGAAAAAACUAUCCUCCAGUGGGAAAAACCAGAUCUGCUCCCUGGAGAUUGUGCCCUGACAGUCCCUAAAUGCGCCGUCAUAUUGAAGUCAGUAGGAAUGGCAAACACCUCCCAACCCACCAGCCCCACCUCCCGCUGGAGGUCUUCAUGAUGGACCUGAGCAGCAGCUGUACACAUCAGUCAUGGUGAGACACCUUUUAUUUUACUACAUAAGAUUUCUUAGAACAAAGAAAAGAUUUUAAACUUUCAGUUGCAUUUACUCCUACAAAAAAAAUUAAAUUGCAUCUUAAAAACGUUAUAUUCACAAAUGAAAGCUGUAGUUGGUGUGUAUUUAAUCCUCCACCUCCUAUCCCUAGGGGAUUUCAUUUCUAAAUAUGUGUUUUAAAACAAGGAUAUCCAAUAAAGAUAGAGUUUAUUCUAAAAUUACAAAGAAAAAUUCCCUGGUGGUUGCUUUUUAUCCUUUCUGAAAAGUGACCAUGUGUGCUUCUGCCAAGUUUUCAUAGGAGUUGUACUUUAUAAAUGGCUCUGUUCCAAGAUCAAGAUGUAUAAACAUCCUGUUCAUGUACUCUCCAGGCUUUUGGAGCACUCUCCCUGCAGAUGGAAUGGACUUCCAGGAGGAAACGACAUAAGCACAGUGUGAACAGGUGGCAUCUUUACCUGCUAUGCCACAGUGCCAGCAUUCCAUAUGGCCACUAGUUUGAGUCCCUGCUGCUCAACUUCUGAUCCAGCUCUCUGCUAUGGCCUGGGAAAGUAGUGGAAGAUGGCCCAAGUCCUUGGGCCCCUGUACCCAUGUGGGACACCCGGAAGAAGCUCUGGGCUCCUGGUUUCAGAUUGGCGCAGCUCCAGCCGUUGUGGCCAUCUGGGAAAUGAACCAUGGAAUGGAAGACCUCUCUCUCUCUCUUUCUGCCUCUGCCC